rnacentral:rRNA from 1 species
CGGGACACGUGGUAUCCUGUCUGAAUAUGGGGGGACCAUCCUCCAAGGCUAAAUACUCCUGACUGACCGAUAGUGAACCAGUACCGUGAGGGAAAGGCGAAAAGAACCCCGGCGAGGGGAGUGAAAAAGAACCUGAAACCGUGUACGUACAAGCAGUGGGAGCACAGAGCAAUCUGUGUGACUGCGUACCUUUUGUAUAAUGGGUCAGCGACUUAUAUUCUGUAGCAAGGUUAACCGAAUAGGGGAGCCGAAGGGAAACCGAGUCUUAACUGGGCGUUAAGUUGCAGGGUAUAGACCCGAAACCCGGUGAUCUAGCCAUGGGCAGGUUGAAGGUUGGGUAACACUAACUGGAGGACCGAACCGACUAAUGUUGAAAAAUUAGCGGAUGACUUGUGGCUGGGGGUGAAAGGCCAAUCAAACCGGGAGAUAGCUGGUUCUCCCCGAAAGCUAUUUAGGUAGCGCCUCGUGAAUUCAUCUCCGGGGGUAGAGCACUGUUUCGGCAAGGGGGUCAUCCCGACUUACCAACCCGAUGCAAACUGCGAAUACCGGAGAAUGUUAUCACGGGAGACACACGGCGGGUGCUAACGUCCGUCGUGAAGAGGGAAACAACCCAGACCGCCAGCUAAGGUCCCAAAGUCAUGGUUAAGUGGGAAACGAUGUGGGAAGGCCCAGACAGCCAGGAUGUUGGCUUAGAAGCAGCCAUCAUUUAAAGAAAGCGUAAUAGCUCACUGGUCGAGUCGGCCUGCGCGGAAGAUGUAACGGGGCUAAACCAUGCACCGAAGCUGCGGCAGCGACGCUUAUGCGUUGUUGGGUAGGGGAGCGUUCUGUAAGCCUGUGAAGGUGUGCUGUGAGGCAUGCUGGAGGUAUCAGAAGUGCGAAUGCUGACAUAAGUAACGAUAAAGCGGGUGAAAAGCCCGCUCGCCGGAAGACCAAGGGUUCCUGUCCAACGUUAAUCGGGGCAGGGUGAGUCGAC